rnacentral:lncRNA from 1 species
UCUUGACUGCUGUCUAGAUGUCUGUACCACCCACCCGAUGCCCCCCUUUCCCCAAUGACACACAGAGACCGUAAUUAAGUUGGGUAAGGGCAUCGGCCACAGCUUUAUUUAUUCUUUCCAUGCCAGCAACAUAAUCAUACUGUCAGCUGUUGGGGUGAUUGCCCAACAGACAGGUCUAUCCCCACAAACCAUGAGUCCUGAGCAGCCUGCCUCCGCCAUCAGCUCCCAACAGGCUGCAACUCCCCAAGCCUCCUCGGCAACUUCACCACUUCUGCCUGCGCUGGCCAGGACUCCCGCCACCGUGAUGACGACUUCCCUUCACGCCUCCUGCCGUCAUCGCGCCCCCCGCCGACAGCGCAGCCUCAAUCCCACCCUGCAAACCCGUGUUCAGGAUGUCUAACCCUAUUUCAUUUAAGUGGACCCCAUCCUUUCUCAUCAAGUUCUGGUUUUCUCCUUCCAGCUCCACGUGUCGGAUGACCGCCCUACCUAGCCGCCGUACAAAUUUCCCCACUGCGAUGUUCAGCUUGCGCCGGCUCUUCUCCAAACCGCGAGAGUGCGGAAGCGCGCGCCAGCACGGCCUGGAAACCACCUCCGACCAAACCAAGGUCAUGUCUGGAAAGAGCGCCAUGCACCUCGCCAAGUCGUGCCGAAUCGCGUGGAGAAGGUCCACAUUCCUGGAUACCCCUAAGUCGUUACCGCCCGCGUGGACCACCGCCACCACCGGCCCCGACACAAACUUACGCAGGGCCACGAACUCUGGAUAAAUUUGCUGCCACCGGAGGCCCCUAAUGCCCUUCCACCUGACUCUGGCCACGUCCAACGAAAACCCCAAAUUCCAUCCAUAGGCCCGGCCUUCAGCUCGCCUAGCUGCCCAGUACACAUAGGAAUGCCCUAUAAUCCACACGUACCGGGGCCGACCACCUACAACGAGAAGAGGGUUACAGCAUAUGAGGUCGGACAUAAGACUUAAAACGCCCCGACCCCCAUCUUCCAAUCCGUUGAAUUCCCGCAGCCGAGUACCCCAAUACACUCGCCUGGGUAACCGCCCCGAUCCGAAAUGAAUGGGCCGAAAACCCGUGACCAUCCAUGCCACUCUCAACCAAUGCUCUCUUCAACAUCGCCGAGAACUGAUACCGGGUUAGAGGAGACCCGUCCACGUGAGCUAACAAAGGGCCUCCCCGCUCCGGGCGCACCUCCAGAAAAUCGUGGAAGGCCCCAACCGGACAAACUUCGUCCCUCGUGGCCCCCAAACGAACCCAGGCCCCCCGGGCCGCCUGGUCCGUCUUAGAUCGCCGCACAAAAAUGUCGAUGGUGGAAGUAGACCACCGCACAUCCGACAAUGCCAACGGCGAGGCCUUCCCCUUGCUCGGGGCUACCAACUCGCCGAUGCGAAAGGCACGAAAAAAGCAGACCGAGAAGGCCACGCGAAACAGCUUCGAUACGUACUCCGAACCACAGACCGUCGGUAGUACUAAAAUAAUCCGCCGCAACAUUUCAGCCGAAAUUGGGUGACGACCAUCCGGGCGACGCCGCAGCCGCCAACCCUUGACCACCCUCUGAAUCCCAUAUUCCUUAGUAACAUCCUGCCAGCCCAUAAAGCGAAACAGGAACGACAGGGCAGCCAAC